AUUGAACGCUGGCGGCAGGCCUAACACAUGCAAGUCGCACGAGUGGCGGACGGGUGAGUAAUGUCUGUGAAACUGCCUGAUGGAGGGGGAUAACUAAUGGAAACGGUAGCUACAACCGCAUACCAUCAGAUGUGCCAAGAUGGGUUGAGUUUGGUGGGGGGGUAACGGAUCACCAAGGCGACGAUCCCUAGCUGGUCUGAGAGGAUGACCAGCCACACUGGAACUGAUACACGGUCCAGACGCCUACGGGAGGCAGCAGUGGGGAAUAUUGCACAAGGGGCGCAAGCCUGAUGCAGCCAUGCCGCGUGUAUGAAGAGGGCCUUCGGGUUGUAAAGUACUUUCAGCGGGGAGGCGUUACCCGCAGAAGAAGCACCGGCUAACUCCGUGCCAGCAGCCGCGGUAAUAC
rnacentral:rRNA from 1 species